UUCUCUCUCCUUCAUUAUCUCAAAACCCUAAAAUCCAUAGCCGCUCCCCUCCCCUUUGCACACACAAGCCAGUACAAACACACACGUUUUUGUGGAAAUCCGAAGCAUGAAGCUUUGGUGUGGUUGCAAUCGAUGGGAAAAAGAUCGAGGUGUAACCGCUGGAUUUCAUAUAGAUCUGGUGGCGAUGACUAGAUUGAUGAGGUUUUGGUUGGAAUUAGCGACUGGAUGCUUAAGUUUAGGAAAACAAGGGUUUGGUAAGUAGAGAUUCCGGCGAUAUAUUGCAUAAACAAGCUUUCUAUAACAAGAAGUAGAAGGCGGAGGUGCUUCUAGGCCCCAACUGGGUCAUGGGUUUCGAAGUGAUCUAUUUAAGAUGGUUGCAGAUAUGAAGCCUGCAUUUAUCAGAUUUCCAGGUUUAUCUAUACUAUAUAGGAAGAUGAAGAGAGAGAGGUUGAGAUGGUUUCCGUGCUCUAGAAUGAUGAUAUUGAAAACUGAACAAAUGUUUUGUGACCAAUAACAUUUUGGUUUGGGUUACUUUUUGUAUCUUAUUUUUAUUAUUAUACAGGAAUGAUGAUAUUGAAAACUGAACAAAUGUUUUGUGAAACUGGAGAGAAGUGGCCUGAUAUUAUCCCAGAGGAAGAUAGUUCCAAGUGGUGCAUCAGGUGACGAUUAAUGGUUGGGCUUGCAAGGUGGUGUUGAAGCUGUGGAUUCGAGUUUUUGACUGAUUUAGAAGGUACAAAUGCACACUUGAGGACU